rnacentral:sRNA from 12 species
UGUGCCGCCGGACGGAGAGGGUCACGAGGGUUGGGGAACCCGGUGACCGGCCCUCCUCCGAGAUGGCCCGGGGUCUAAGGGAGCCCGGGGUCGAUCGCUCUGGCGAAGGAG